rnacentral:tRNA from 1 species
GAAGCUUUGGCGUAAUUGGUAGGCGCGCUCAAUAUAUGAGUAUCGUAGGCCCCUUCGAGAAAGUAGACACCCAGUGCAGGUUCGAGUCCUGCAAGCUUCA